GAAAAUAUAGCUCAGUGGUAGAGUACAUGCCUAGCAUGUACAAGGUCCUGGGUUCAAUUCCCAGUACCUCCA
rnacentral:tRNA from 1 species